rnacentral:rRNA from 1 species
UGUGUGGCAUACGGCUCAGUAACACGUAGUCAGCAUGCCCAGGGGACGUGGAUAACCUCGGGAAACUGAGGAUAAACCGCGAUAGGUCACUACUUCUGGAAUGGGUAAUGACCCAAACCUAUAUGGCCCCUGGAUUGGACUGCGGCCGAUCAGGCUGUUGGUGAGGUAAUGGCCCACCAAACCUGUAACCGGUACGGGCUCUGAGAGGAGGAGCCCGGAGAUGGGCACUGAGACAAGGGCCCAGGCCCUAUGGGGCGCAGCAGGCGCGAAACCUCUGCAAUAGGCGAAAGCUUGACAGGGUUACUCUGAGUGAUUUCCGUUAAGGAGAUCUUUUGGCACCUCUAAAAAUGGUGCAGAAUAAGGGGUGGGCAAGUCUGGUGUCAGCCGCCGCGGUAAUACCAGCACCCCGAGUGGUCGGGACGUUUAUUGGGCCUAAAGCAUCCGUAGCCGGUUCCACAAGUCUUCCGUUAAAUCCACCCGCUCAACAGAUGGGCUGCGGAAGAUACUAUGGAGCUAGGAGGCGGGAGAGGCAAGCGGUACUCGAUGGGUAGGGGUAAAAUCCGUUGAUCCAUUGAAGACCACCAGUGGCGAAGGCGGCUUGCCAGAACGCGCUCGACGGUGAGGGAUGAAAGCUGGGGGAGCAAACCGGAUUAGAUACCCGGGUAGUCCCAGCUGUAAACGAUGCAGACUCGGUGAUGAGUUGGCUUUAUGCCAACUCAGUGCCGCAGGGAAGCCGUUAAGUUUGCCGCCUGGGGAGUACGGUCGCAAGACUGAAACUUAAAGGAAUUGGCGGGGGAGCACCACAAGGGGUGAAGCCUGCGGUUCAAUUGGAUUCAACGCCGGG